UUUUUGUCCUACCCCUUUCUCUUCGCCAUCUUCAACCACGUAACGGUCUGUAUUAAUUUCAAUCAACAAGGAAUCCCAAUACUUCCUCCUCAAUGUAUCUUAAAUUACUGGUUUUGCAACUUCAUUCCGUGUGUACAUAGAGACCCUCUGAGAGAGUUGAGGCUGUUGUAGGGAGAUUGAUUGUCUU